rnacentral:rRNA from 1 species
GUGAGGAAUUUUCCGCAAUGGGCGAAAGCCUGACGGAGCAAUGCCGCGUGAAGGAUGAAGGCCUAUGGGUUGUAAACUUCUUUUCUCAGAAAAGAAUUAUGACGGUAUCUGAGGAAUAAGCAUCGGCUAACUCUGUGCCAGCAGCCGCGGUAAGACAGAGGAUGCAAGCGCUAUCCGGAAUGAUUGGGCGUAAAGCGUCUGUAGGUUGUUUAAAAAGUAUUCUGUCAAAGAUUAGGGCUUAACCCUAGAUAGGCAGAAUAAACUUUUAAGCUAGAGUUUGGUAGAGGCAGAGGGAAUUCCCGGUGGAGCGGUGAAAUGCGUAGAUAUCGGGAGGAACACCAAAGGCGAAGGCACUCUGCUGGGCCAAUACUAACACUGAGAGACGAAAGCGAGGGGAGCAAAUGGGAUUAGAAACCCGGGUAGUCC